UCGUAACAAGGUCUCCGUUGGUGAACCAGCGGAGGGAUCAUUACCGAGUUAUACAACUCAUCAACCCUGUGAACAUACCUAAAACGUUGCUUCGGCGGGAACAGACGGCCCCGUAACACGGGCCGCCCCCGCCAGAGGACCCCCUAACUCUGUUUCUAUUAUGUUUCUUCUGAGUAAAACAAGCAAAUAAAUUAAAACUUUCAACAACGGAUCUCUUGGCUCUGGCAUCGAUGAAGAACGCAGCGAAAUGCGAUAAGUAAUGUGAAUUGCAGAAUUCAGUGAAUCAUCGAAUCUUUGAACGCACAUUGCGCCCGCCAGUAUUCUGGCGGGCAUGCCUGUUCGAGCGUCAUUACAACCCUCAGGCCCCCGGGCCUGGCGUUGGGGAUCGGCGAGGCGCCCCCUGCGGGCACACGCCGUCCCCCAAAUACAGUGGCGGUCCCGCCGCAGCUUCCAUUGCGUAGUAGCUAACACCUCGCAACUGGAGAGCGGCGCGGCCAUGCCGUAAAACACCCAACUUCUGAAUGUUGACCUCGAAUCAGGUAGGAAUACCCGCUGAACUUAAGCAUAUCAAUAA
rnacentral:misc_RNA from 1 species